GGGCCGUUAGCUCAAUUGGUAGAGCGGCAGACUCUUAAUCUGUAGGUUGGAGGUUCGAUUCCUCCACGGCUCACCA
rnacentral:tRNA from 1 species